rnacentral:rRNA from 1 species
AAACAUGUCUUUUAGAAUUUAAUUUAAAGUCUAACCUGCCCACUGAAAUUUUUUAAAUGGCCGCAGUAUCCUAACUGUGCAAAGGUAGCAUAAUCAUUAGUCUUUUAAUUGAAGGCUGGAAUGAAUGGUUGGAUGAAAUAUUAACUGUUUCAUAGAAAUUUAUAAUAGAAUUUUAUUUUUUAGUCAAAAAGCUAAAAUGAAAUUAAAAGACGAGAAGACCCUAUAAAUCUUUAUAUUUAGAAAAUUACAAUUAUUUAGAUAAUUUAAAUUUUAAUUUUUUUUAAGUAUUUUAUUGGGGUGAUAUUAAAAUUUAAUAAACUUUUAAUUUAUUAUAAACAUAAAUUAAUGAAUUUUUGAUCCAUAUUUAAUGAUUAAAAAAUUAAGUUACUUUAGGGAUAACAGCGUAAUUUUUUUAGAGAGUUCAUAUUGAUAAAAAAGAUUGCGACCUCGAUGUUGGAUUAAGAUACAGUUUUAGGUGCAGCAGCUUAAACUUAAAGUCUGUUCGACUUUUAAAUUCUUA